rnacentral:rRNA from 1 species
GACGAACGCUGGCGGCGUGCCUAAUACAUGCAAGUCGAACGCUGAAGGAGGAGCUUGCUUCUCUGGAUGAGUUGCGAACGGGUGAGUAACGCGUAGGUAACCUGCCUGGUAGCGGGGGAUAACUAUUGGAAACGAUAGCUAAUACCGCAUAAUAGUAGAUGUUGCAUGACAUUUGCUUAAAAGGUGCAAUUGCAUCACUGCCAGAUGGACCUGCGUUGUAUUAGCUAGUUGGUGGGGUAACGGCUCACCAAGGCGACGAUACAUAGCCGACCUGAGAGGGUGAUCGGCCACACUGGGACUGAGACACGGCCCAGACUCCUACGGGAGGCAGCAGUAGGGAAUCUUCGGCAAUGGACGGAAGUCUGACCGAGCAACGCCGCGUGAGUGAAGAAGGUUUUCGGAUCGUAAAGCUCGGUUGUAAGAGAAGAACGAGUGUGAGAGUGGAAAGUUCACACUGUGACGGUAUCUUACCAGAAAGGGACGGCUAACUACGUG